AGUGAAUAGAUACCCUGGUAGUCCUGGCAGUAAACGGUGCGCGUUUGGUGUGGGAGGAUUCGACCCCUUCUGUGCCGGAGCUAAACGCGUUAAACGCGCCGCCUGGGGAGGUACGGUCGCAAGAUUAAAACUACAAAGAAAUUGACGGGGGCCCGGCACAAGCGGUGGAGUAUGUGGCUUAAUUCGAUGCAACGCGAAGAACCUUACCUAGCCUUGACAUGCAUCUCUAAGUCGGUGAAAGCCGGCGAGUGUAGCAAUACACAAUUUGCACAGGUGCUGCAUGGCUGUCGUCAGCUCGUGUCGUGAGAUGUUGGGUUUAAGUCCCGCAACGAGCGCAACCCCUGUGAACUGUUGCCACCUACAUUCGUGUAGAGCACUCUGUUCAGACUGCCCUGUGAAA
rnacentral:rRNA from 1 species